GAGGUGGCACCCAGAGGCUCAACUGCCAGGGUGGCAGGGCUGGAGCCAGAGCACACAGAGGGGCUCAGGAAAGCCAACGUGUGCACAGGCUCAGCUCUGCCGUCAGAUGGAAGAAGCCACCAAAAUUGCAAACUUUAAGCUAAAAUGGGCACAGAAGCUGCUCUCAGAGAACCCAAACCAUGAGCACCAAACGCUCCUGAGAGAGUCGGUUCCACUCAGGUCUCCACUGGGGGUUCACGUGCACCAGGACGCGGACCAGAACCCUCCAGGGGACAGAGCAGACCAGCAGCACGUGCAGAACCUCCCUCUGGCAGGAGGUGCAAUACUAUGCAGCUGUAAAAAAGAACUCUUAGCAUUUGCAGCAGCAUGGAGGAGCCUGGAGAGCAUUAUGCGAAGUGAAAUAAGCCAGUCAGAGAAGGGCAAGUAUUACACUAUCUCACUCAUAUGGGGACUCUAAUGAACAAAAUAAAUUGAUGAACAAAAUAGAUCCAGAGACACAGAAGCACAGA